UAAAAAGCUCGUAGUUGGAUCUGUGUAUCGGACGGUCGGUUCGCCGCUCGCGGUGUUUGACUGACCGGUCCGGACGUCAUGCCGGUGGGGCUUCGGCGCAAGUCGGAGCUCCGUAAUUUACCCUCCGCGCUGCUCUUAACCGAGUGGUUCGGUGGGCCGGCACGUUUACUUUGAACAAAUUUGAGUGCUCAAAGCAGGCCUUAUGUUGCCUGAAAACUGUGUGCAUGGAAUAAUGGAAUAGGACCUUGGUUCUAUUUUGUUGGCUUUCUGAACUUGAGGUAAUGAUUAACAGGGACAGACGGGGGCAUUCGUAUUGCGACGUUAGAGGUGAAAUUCUUGGAUCGUCGCAAGACGUACCGAUGCGAAAGCGUUUGCCAAGAAUGUUUUCGCUAAUCAAGAACGAAAGUUAGAGGUUCGAAGGCGAUUAGAUACCGCCCUAGUUCUAACCAUAAACGAUGUCAGCCAGCGAUGCGCCGAUGUUCCUCCGAUGACACGGCGCGCAACUUCCGGGAAACCAAAGCUUUUGGGUUCCGGGG
rnacentral:rRNA from 3 species